rnacentral:rRNA from 1 species
CUGAAUUUAAGCAUAUUAAUGAGGGGAGGAAAAGAAACUAACAAGGAUUUUCUUAGUAGCGGCGAGCGAAAAGAAAAUAGUUCAGCACUAAGUCACUUUGUCUUUAUGGCAAAUGUGAGAUGCAGUGUAUGGAAUGUCAAAUUUCUAGUAUGAGAAAUUAACGAUUUAAGUCCUUCUUAAAUGAGGCCAUUUACCCAAAGAGGGUGCCAGGCCCGUAUAACGUUAAUGAUUACUAGAUGGCAUUUCCAAAGAGUCGUGUUGCUUGAUAGUGCAGCACUAAGUGGGUGGUAAACUCCAUCUAAAACUAAAUAUAACCAUGAGACCGAUAGUAAACAAGUACCGUGAGGGAAAGUUGAAAAGAACUCUGAAUAGAGAGUUAAAUAGUACGUGAAACUGCUUAGAGGUUAAGCCCGAUGAACCUGAAUAUCCAUUAUGGAAAAUUCAUCAUUAUGAUUUUAAUAUUUGUAAUAUUAUAAUAAUGGUGUGCAUUUUUUCUAUAAAGGACAUUGUAAUCUAUUAACUUUAAUAUAUUUAUCAUAAGAUCAUUAGAUUAUGUUUAUUCAAAUUAUUUUGCUUGCAAUUUAAUAUCGAAUAAAUUCUUUUGAUUUGAUAAAGUGUUGAUAGAUUUAUUAUAUACAGUGCUUAAAUAUUUAUAUUUUAUAAUAUCAUAUUAAUCAAUGAUUUUUAUGUUCAUUAUAUGCACUUGUAUGAUUAACAAUGCGAAAGAUUCAGGAUACCUUCGGGACCCGUCUUGAAACACGGACCAAGGAGUCUAACAUAUUUGCAAGUUAUUGGGAAUAAAAACCUAAUAGCGAAAUUAACAUAACUUUAAUGGGAUUAGUUUUUAGCCUAUUUAUAGUCUAUUAAUUCAAUCCCGGGGCGUUCUAUACAGUUAUGUAUAAUAAUAUUUAUAUUAUUUAUACCUCUAACUAGAGCGUACCUUGAGCAUAUAUGCUGUGACCCGAAAGAUGGUGAACUAUACUUGAUCAGGUUGAAGUCAGGGGAAACCCUGAUGGAAGACCGAAACAGUUCUGACGUGCAAAUCGAUUGUCAGAAUUGAGUAUAGGGGCGAAAGACCAAUCGAACCAUCUAGUAGCUGGUUCCCUCCGAAGUUUCCCUCAGGAUAGCUGGUGCAUUUAAAAAUUAUGUAAAAUAAUCUUAUCUGGUAAAGCGAAUGAUUAGAGGCCUUAGGGUCGAAACGAUCUUAACCUAUUCUCAAACUUUAAAUGGGUAAGAACCUCACCUUUCUUGGUAUGAAGGUUGUGGUUGUGAUAUAAUGUGCCCAGUGGGCCACUUUUGGUAAGCAGAACUGGCGCUGUGGGAUGAACCAAACGUAAUGUUACGGUGCCCAAAUUAACAACUCAUGCAGAUACCAUGAAAGGCGUUGGUUGCUUAAAACAGCAGGACGGUGGACAUGGAAGUCGUAAUCCGCUAAGGAGUGUGUAACAACUCACCUGCCGAAGCAACUAGCCCUUAAAAUGGAUGGCGCUUAAGUUGUAUACCUAUACAUUACCGCUAAAGUAGAUGGUUUAUAUUCAAUCUCGGUUGGAUUUUAAACUUUGAAACUUUAGUGAGUAGGAGGGUACAAUGGUAAGCAUAGAAGUGUUUGGCGUAAGCCUGCAUGGAGCUGCCAUUGGCACAGAUCUUGGUGGUAGUAGCAAAUAAUCGAAUGAGACCUUGGAGGACUGAAGUGGAGAAGGGUUUCGUGUGAACAGUGGUUGAUCACGAGUUAGUCGGUCCUAAGUUUAAGGCGAAAGCCGAAAAUUUUCAAGUUAUAAUGAAUAAGUAAAAUAUAUACAAGUAUAUAUAAGAAAAAGUAAUAAAACACUUGAAUAAUUUUGAACGAAAGGGAAUACGGUUCCAAUUCCGUAACCUGUUGAGUAUCCGUUUGUUAUUAAAUAUGGGCCUUGUGCUCAUCCUGGCAACAGGAACGACCAUAAAGAAGCCGUCGAGAGAUAUCGGAAGAGUUUUCUUUUCUGUUUUAUAGUCGUACUACCAUGGAAGUCUUUCGAAGAGAGAUAUGGUAGAUGGACUAGAAGAGCAUGACAUUUACUGUUGUGUCGAUAUUUUCUCCUCGGACCUUGAAAAUUUAUGGUGGGGUCACGCAAACUUCUCAACAGGCCGUACCAAUAUCCGCAGCUGGUCUCCAAGGUGAAGAGUCUCUAGUCGAUAGAAUAAUGUAGGUAAGG